AGCCAGACUCCUACGGGAGGCAGCAGUGGGGAAUAUUGGGCAAUGGGCGCAAGCCUGACCCAGCAACGCCGCGUGAAGGAAGAAGGCUUUCGGGUUGUAAACUUCUUUUGUCAGGGAAGAGUAGAAGACGGUACCUGACGAAUAAGCCACGGCUAACUACGUGCCAGCAGCCGCGGUAAUACGUAGGUGGCAAGCGUUGUCCGGAUUUACUGGGUGUAAAGGGCGUGUAGCCGGGUUGACAAGUCAGAUGUGAAAUCCUGCGGCUUAACCGCAGAACUGCAUUUGAAACUGUCGUUCUUGAGUACUGGAGAGGUUGACGGAAUUCCUAGUGUAGCGGUGAAAUGCGUAGAUAUUAGGAGGAACACCAGUGGCGAAGGCGGUCAACUGGACAGCAACUGACGCUGAGGCGCGAAAGCGUGGGGAGCAAACAGGAUUAGAUACCCGCGUAU
rnacentral:rRNA from 1 species